GUAACUUGACUUGAAUGCUAGUAACUAUACCAAGGGCUCUCUGUGAAAGUUUUAAUAGGAGCAUAAAAAGCUUCUUGUUUUGUGAGAGCAAUCCCUUACGUGAGAAAAAUGGUAUCUUACCAUAAGAGCAAAGUCCUGCGCUCCAACUCAAAGAGUUCUAACUCCAGAACCAAUACCAUUUCUUAAUGAGGCCACACGAGGUCUUGGUCUUGCACACACAUUAGCACUUCAUGCUGCCCAUCAUCUGACUAACUGCUUUCAGC